rnacentral:rRNA from 1 species
AGUGAACGCUGGCGGUAGGCCUAACACAUGCAAGUCGAACGGCAGCACAGUAAGAGCUUGCUCUUACGGGUGGCGAGUGGCGGACGGGUGAGGAAUACAUCGGAAUCUACUUUUUCGUGGGGGAUAACGUAGGGAAACUUACGCUAAUACCGCAUACGACCUACGGGUGAAAGCAGGGGAUCUUCGGACCUUGCGCGAUUGAAUGAGCCGAUGUCGGAUUAGCUAGUUGGCGGGGUAAAGGCCCACCAAGGCGACGAUCCGUAGCUGGUCUGAGAGGAUGAUCAGCCACACUGGAACUGAGACACGGUCCAGACUCCUACGGGAGGCAGCAGUGGGGAAUAUUGGACAAUGGGCGCAAGCCUGAUCCAGCAAUACUGCGUGGGUGAAGAAGGCCUUCGGGUUGUAAAGCCCUUUUGUUGGGAAAGAAAAGGAGCAGGUUAAUACCCCGCUGUUAUGACGGUACCCAAAGAAUAAGCACCGGCUAACUUCGUG